rnacentral:rRNA from 1 species
AUGCAGGAGCUCCUCGCUGGCCGCGUUCAUGCCGCUGACCUCCGAUCGCAUGGUCAACGUCCUGACGAGCGAAGCGAGCUGCGUCCAGCGCUUGUAGUCUUGUACUACCUGGAGGCGCAGGCCAUCUCCCGGCUCCGAGAGAUGGCGAGCCAACAAGAAGGAGACGGCCGCGCUACGCGGGUCCAGGCGGUGUCCGCGUACAUGUGGAAGACCCUAGCUUCCGUGGUUGGGGCGGCUGACACGCGCUGCCGCAUGGGCUGGUGGGUGGACGGGCGGCGUCGACUCACGGCGCCAGAGCACCGCGCCCUCGCGACGAGCAGCUAUGUGGGCAACGUGUCCAUCUUCGUCUUGGGAGAGGACAGCGUGGAGGAGAUCCAGCGGAAGCCUCUGCCGGAGGUGGCGUCCAUGGUGCGCGAACUGAUCAAUGCGCGCGCGUACGACGACCGCUUCCAGGAGAUGGUUGACUGGGUGGAGCACCACAAGUCCGGCGCCACCUACAUGGACGCGUCCAACAUCGGGUUGGGCUACCCGACGAUGGUUGUGACGGCCUUCACCUCGUUUCCGAUGGACACUGACUUAGGCUUCGGCCACGCGGCAAAUGGCGAUGACGACAACGCGCGGCAGGGGGCUAUGCUCGGGGUUCGUACAGAUGGUGGCUACGCCUUGUUGAGUCAACCAUGGUCUUCGGUGAACAUGCAGCUGCAUGCAUGCAGCACCAGCGGCAGCCAGGAAGUGGUAGUUACUAGUAGUUUUCUAGUAGUACGCUUAGAUGGUGCAAGGAACUUACCUAAAGGUUUCCCUUGUAGUAUAUGGUAG